UACGUAGGGACCAAGCGUUGUUCGGAAUUACUGGGCGUAAAGGGCUCGUAGGCGGCCAACUAAGUCCGACGUGAAAUCCCCAGGCUUAACCUGGGAACUGCGUCGGAUACUGGAUGGCUUGAAUCCGGGAGAGGGAUGCGGAAUUCCAGGUGUAGCGGUGAAAUGCGUAGAUAUCUGGAGGAACACCGGUGGCGAAGGCGGCAUCCUGGACCGGCAUUGACGCUGAGGAGCGAAAGCCAGGGGAGCAAACGGG
rnacentral:rRNA from 1 species